AGCAGCCGCGGUAAUUCCAGCUCCAAUAGCGUAUAUUAAAGUUGUUGCAGUUAAAAAGCUCGUAGUUGAAUUUCGGGAUCAAUUAAUCGGUCGUGCCUCUGGUACGUACUGGUUUUAUUGGUUCCUCCCUUCUGACGAAACACGGUGUCAUUAAUUUGGUGUCGUGGAGAAUCAGGACUGUUACCUUGAAAAAAUUAGAGUGUUUAUAGCAGGCUAACGCUUGAAUACAUUAGCAUGGAAUAAUGAAAUAGGGCGUUCGACCCUAUUUUGUUGGUUUCUAGGAUCGACGUAAUGAUUAAUAGGGAUAGUUGGGGGCAUUAGUAUUCAAUUGUCAGAGGUGAAAUUCUUGGAUUUAUUGAAGACUAACUACUGCGAAAGCAUUUGCCAAGGAUGUUUUCAUUAAUCAAGAACGAAAGUUAGGGGAUCGAAGACGAUCAGAUACCGUCGUAGUCUUAACCAUAAACUAUGCCGACUAGGGAUCGGAUGAUGUUAAUUUUUUAAUGACUCAUUCGGCGCCUUA
rnacentral:rRNA from 1 species